rnacentral:tRNA from 1 species
GCCGAGGUGGCGGAAUUGGCAGACGCGCAUGGUUGAGGGCCAUGUGCCCGCAAGGGCAUAAGGGUUCAAGUCCCUUCCUCGGCACCA